CCUACGGGGGGCAGCAGUAGGGAAUCUUCGGCAAUGGACGGAAGUCUGACCGAGCAACGCCGCGUGAGUGAAGAAGGUUUUCGGAUCGUAAAGCUCUGUUGUAAGAGAAGAACGAGUGUGAGAGUGGAAAGUUCACACUGUGACGGUAUCUUACCAGAAAGGGACGGCUAACUACGUGCCAGCAGCCGCGGUAAUACGUAGGUCCCGAGCGUUGUCCGGAUUUAUUGGGCGUAAAGCGAGCGCAGGCGGUUAGAUAAGUCUGAAGUUAAAGGCUGUGGCUUAACCAUAGUACGCUUUGGAAACUGUUUAACUUGAGUGCAAGAGGGGAGAGUGGAAUUCCAUGUGUAGCGGUGAAAUGCGUAGAUAUAUGGAGGAACACCGGUGGCGAAAGCGGCUCUCUGGCUUGUAACUGACGCUGAGGCUCGAAAGCGUGGGGAGCAAACAGGAUUAGAUACCCCUGUAGUC
rnacentral:rRNA from 1 species